AAAGUAUGGAAGAUAGAGUAUAUCGAUUGAAUAAAGAUUUAUCUAUAAAAUCUUAUUAAUCUCCACAAUCCUAAUCCACGUGGCAUGCUCUCCUUAAUAAGCCUACGAAACCCACUUGAGUCUCUCCCUCUCUCACUUUCUACUCUCCUCGGUUCGCUUCUCCAGAGUGCCCGCUUGCUUUCCCCAUCCGUAACGUCUCGACUGUUCUACUUCUCAUCUCCUUAAUUUUACUCUCUACUCAUGUCGCUUCGGCUUCCCACCUUUUUAAUUUUUACCAUGUCGCGCUUCCUCUGCUCCUUCAUAGGCACCCGCCUGCCUUCCCGAUUGCAUCACUACCUCUUU
rnacentral:lncRNA from 1 species